UACGUAGGGUGCAAGCGUUGUCCGGAAUUAUUGGGCGUAAAGAGCUCGUAGGCGGUUGGUCGCGUCGGCUGUGAAAACCCGGAGCUCAACUCCGGGCCUGCAGUCGAUACGGGCCGACUUGAGUGUUGCAGGGGAGACUGGAAUUCCUGGUGUAGCGGUGAAAUGCGCAGAUAUCAGGAGGAACACCGGUGGCGAAGGCGGGUCUCUGGGCAACAACUGACGCUGAGGAGCGAAAGCCAGGGGAGCAAACGG
rnacentral:rRNA from 1 species